GAGACGCUGGCGGCGUGCUUCCACAUGCAGUCGAACGAUGAACCUGGAGCUUGCUCUAGGGAAUUAGUGGCGAACGGGUGAGUAACACGUGAGUAACCUGCCCUUGACUCUGGGAUAACCUCCGGAAACGGAAGCUAAUACCGGAUACGACGUACGGAGGCAUCUCCUGUACGUGGAAAGAACUUCGGUCAAGGAUGGACUCGCGGCCUAUCAGGUAGUUGGUGAGGUAACGGCCCACCAAGCCUACGACGGGUAGCCGGCCUGAGAGGGUGACCGGCCACACUGGGACUGAGACACGGCCCAGACUCCUACGGGAGGCAGCAGUGGGGAAUAUUGCACAAUGGGCGCAAGCCUGAUGCAGCAACGCCGCGUGAGGGAUGACGGCCUUCGGGUUGUAAACCUCUUUUAGUAGGGAAGAAGCGAAAGUGACGGUACCUGCAGAAAAAGCACCGGCUAACUACGUGCCAGCAGCCGCGGUAAUACGUAGGGUGCGAGCGUUGUCCGGAAUUAUUGGGCGUAAAGAGCUCGUAGGCGGUCUGUCGCGUCUGCUGUGAAAACCCGAGGCUCAACCUCGGGCCUGCAGUGGGUACGGGCAGACUA
rnacentral:rRNA from 1 species